rnacentral:lncRNA from 1 species
AAUUACAUUUCUAAGGAAUUCUAUUCGUAAAGGUACUUUGGCAACACUAAGCCACUAAGUAAUUCAUUUGAAAACUAGAAGAUGAAAUGAAACCUAAGAACCAUCAUCUGUUUGUAGUACCUAAUAAGUUCAAUUUGGAGGACCAAAUUCCUUUUUAAGGAGGGGAGAUGUAAUAACUUAGAUUUUUCAAAUUCUAGUUUCUCGCAUUCGGUAUGGUUGAUUAAGUGUAUAUAUGUAUCUAGGAAGAUGUAGUAAGGAUAAGAACUGGGUUUAAUGAUAAAUAGGAAGAAAAUAGUAAAAUUAGGUUAAGGGAAAUCCCUUGAUAGUGAGAAUAUUCCCUCAAAGAGGAAAUCAUUCAGCCAAAAAAUAUUUCUCAAGGCUGAAACA